rnacentral:sRNA from 1 species
GGAAAAACAGAUGGAGACUAUUACACCCUGGAUGACAUGUUUGUCUCCAAAGCAGCUGAGAGAGAACGUCUUGGUGAAGAGGAAGAGAACCAACGGAAAAAAGCUAUUGCUGAGCAUCGGAGUCUUGCUGCACAAAUGGAAAAAUGUCUAUAUUGUUUUGACAGCUCUCAAUUUCCCAAGCAUCUUAUUGUUGCAAUAGGUGUUAAGGUUUAUUUAUGUUUACCCAACGUACGGUCUCUUACUGAGGGGCACUGCCUGAUAGUCCCUUUGCAGCACCAUAGAGCAGCUACUUUAUUGGAUGAAGACAUCUGGGAGGAGAUCCAGGUCAGCAUGAUAAAUGUUCAUUAUCAUUUUAAAACUCAUGAGCAAUUUUUGUAAAUUAUUGUGGUAAAUUCCAAUAGGUUUUAUACCUUCAUUUAAUGAUUUUAGCUUCUAAACUUAAACACAUGUGUUUUCAUAGUUGUAUAUAUCUGUGGAUCAUGAUGUUUCCAUCAUUUUAUUUUCCUUGUGUACUCCAGAUUUUGAGACCUUUUAUCUACAAAAUAAACUGUGA